GGGGAAUAUUGCGCAAUGGGCGAAAGCCUGACGCAGCGACGCCGCGUGUGGGAGGAAGCCUUUCGGGGUGUAAACCACUGUCAGAGGGGAAGAACUCCGCCGUUUCGAACAGGCUCGGCGAAUGACGGUACCCUCAGAGGAAGCGCCGGCUAACUCCGUGCCAGCAGCCGCGGUAAGACGGAGGGUGCUAGCGUUGUUCGGAAUCACUGGGCGUAAAGGGCGCGUAGGCGGCCAAGGCAGUCGGCUUUGUGAAAGCCCGGGGCUCAACCCCGGAGGUGCGGCCGAUACUCCUUGGCUCGAGGCCGGAAGAGGAGGGUGGAAUACCCAGUGUAGAGGUGAAAUUCGUAGAUAUUGGGUGGAACACCGGUGGCGAAAGCGGCUCUCUGGUCCGGACCUGACGCUGAGGCGCGAAAGCGUGGGGAGCAA
rnacentral:rRNA from 1 species